GGCCCCGUAGCUCAGCUGGAUAGAGCGUCCCCCUCCUAAGGGGAAGGUCGCCCGUUCGAAUCGGGCCGGGGUCACAA
rnacentral:tRNA from 3 species